GGACUCGUAGCUUAACUGGAUAGAGCACCUGGUUACGGCCCAGGAGGUUGGGGGUUCGACUCCCUCCGAGUCCUCUA
rnacentral:tRNA from 1 species